GGCCUGCCCGACACUCUUUCCCUGUUGCACUACUGUGGGCCACUGGCAGGCAGUGCAAUGAUGAAAGGGCAUCAGUCAGGCC
ensembl:miRNA